rnacentral:rRNA from 1 species
AUUGAACGCUGGCGGCAGGCCUAACACAUGCAAGUCGAACGAGUGGCGGACGGGUGAGUAGUGUCUGGGAAACUGCCAGAUGGAGGGGGAUAACUACUGGAAACGGUAGCUAAUACCGCAUACCAUGGGAUGUGCCAAGAUGGGCUUAGCUAGUAGGUGGGGUAACGGCUCACCUAGGCGCAGAUCCCUAGCUGGUCUGAGAGGAUGACCAGCCACACUGGAACUGAGACACGUUCCAGACUCCUACGGGAGGCAGCAGUGGGAAAUAUUUCACAAUGGGCGCAAGCCUGAUUCAGCCAUGCCGCGUGUAUGAAGAAGGCCUUCGGGUUGUAAAGUACUUUCAGCGAGGAGGCGUUACUCGCAGAAGAAGCACCGGCUAACUCCGUGCCAGCCGCCGCGGUAAUUC